AAAAUGGCUCUCUGUGUAUCUUUUACUCGCCAGGGGCUAUGGUGCAGACUAUGAGCCUGGUAUUUUGAGAAAAAGGAGAUCCCUGGGGACUUAAAAUGAUGUAUGAAGUUCAUUGUCACAAGACCAUCGAAUAUCAAAUCACUGUCUCUGCUUUCUCUGUAGGUAACCUGUCUCCAUGAUUUCUUUGGUGAUGAUGAUGUGUUUAUUGCCUGCGGUCCUGAAAAAUUUCGCUAUGCUCAGGAUGACUUUUCUCUGGAUGAAAAUGAAUGCCGAGUCAUGAAGGGAAACCCAUCAGCCACAGCUGGCCCUAAGGCAUCCCCAACACCUCAGAAGAGUUCAGCUAAGAGCCCUGGCCCCACGCGCCGGAGCAAGUCUCCAGCUGACUCAGGUAACGACCAAGACGCAAACGGAACCUCCAGCAGCCAGCUCUCUACCCCCAAGUCUAAGCAGUCUCCCAUCUCUACGCCCACCAGUCCUGGCAGCCUCCGGAAGCACAAGGUAUUAUGUCUCUUAUACCUUACUAAACCCCCUUUCACUUGGACUUUUUGGUCC
rnacentral:lncRNA from 1 species